GACCUCGGAUCAGGUAGGGAUACCCGCUGAACUUAAGCAUAUCAAUAAGCGGAGGAAAAGAAACCAACAGGGAUUGCCUUAGUAACGGCGAGUGAAGCGGCAACAGCUCAAAUUUGAAAUCUGGCCUUGCGGUCCGAGUUGUAAUUUGUAGAGGAUGCUUCGAGCGUGGUCCGGUCUAAGUUCCUUGGAACAGGACGUCAUAGAGGGUGAGAAUCCCGUAUGUGACUGGGUGCCUAAGCUCGUGUGAAGCUCCUUCGACGAGUCGAGUUGUUUGGGAAUGCAGCUCAAAAUGGGUGGUAAAUUUCAUCUAAAGCUAAAUACUGGCCAGAGACCGAUAGCGCACAAGUAGAGUGAUCGAAAGAUGAAAAGCACUUUGGAAAGAGAGUUAAACAGUACGUGAAAUUGUUGAAAGGGAAGCGCUUGCAACCAG
rnacentral:rRNA from 1 species